UUCAUUAGUUAUUAUAGGCCCAUAAUUAAAUAAAAAUAUUAAGCUUGUUAAUUUGGCCCAAAAUCUGUUAUCGGUAAAUACCAAUAUCGUUAGAUAUCUAAAAUCAAACAUUAAAUCUCAUCUGUUUCAAAUUCGAGUCAUAAUUCUCGGGAAAAAAAACGCUUCGUCCUCUGCUUCAAGCCGUUGCAGGGGGAAGGUAUUAAUCUCUUCAAUUUCUAAAUUUUUACCGUUGAAUCAGAAUCAGUCACAUAUAUAGUUGCAUAAAUAGAAUGAGGUAAAUUAAUUCUUCUCACCAAUUUACUCUUUGAUUAUUGUCCUUCUUGUUCUUGAGCAAAAAAAUUCACACUGCAAUUUACAGAUUGUCUUCGUUUGGAUUCGUAGCGGGGAAGAUUGUUGUUGUACCCUCAUUGUCUAUUUGUCUUCUGGAAUCUGGAUUCUGGUAAUUGACUAUCAGGUUUGGGGCUACCUAUUACAAACUCUCAAGCUCCAAUUUCUCCAGCCUCCAUGUGCUAUUAUUCUAUCAUUUUACUUUGAGUGUUAUUGUGUGAAACAUGGGGCCACCUAGAAAACAAGCAUGUGGAAAUGAGAAAAAGAAAAAAAGAA